rnacentral:rRNA from 1 species
GGGUUGUGAGGUUAAGCGACUAAGCGUACACGGUGGAUGCCCUGGCAGUCAGAGGCGAUGAAGGGCGUGCUAAUCUGCGAUAAGCGCCGGUAAGGUGAUAUGAACCGUUAUAACCGGCGAUACCCGAAUGGGGAAACCCAGUGUGAUUCGUCACACUAUCAUUAACUGAAUCCAUAGGUUAAUGAGGCGAACCGGGGGAACUGAAACAUCUAAGUACCCCGAGGAAAAGAAAUCAACCGAGAUUCCCCCAGUAGCGGCGAGCGAACGGGGAGGAGCCCAGAGCCUGAAUCAGCAUGUGUGUUAGUGGAAGCGUCUGGAAAGGCGCGCGAUACAGGGUGACAGCCCCGUACACAAAAGCGCAUGUGCUGUGAGCUCGAUGAGUAGGGCGGGACACGUGGUAUCCUGUCUGAAUAUGGGGGGACCAUCCUCCAAGGCUAAAUACUCCUGACUGACCGAUAGUGAACCAGUACCGUGAGGGAAAGGCGAAAAGAACCCCGGCGAGGGGAGUGAAAAAGAACCUGAAACCGUGUACGUACAAGCAGUGGGAGCACCCUUUGGGUGUGACUGCGUACCUUUUGUAUAAUGGGUCAGCGACUUAUAUUCUGUAGCAAGGUUAACCGAAUAGGGGAGCCGGAGGGAAACCGAGUCUUAACCGGGCGUUAAGUUGCAGGGUAUAGACCCGAAACCCGGUGAUCUAGCCAUGGGCAGGUUGAAGGUUGGGUAACACUAACU